UCUCUCUCACUGUCUCUCACUCAGGUAAAUAAAUAAAAUCUUUAAAAAAAAAAAAAAAAGAAAGGUGAUCUUUAUUCUUAGAUUUAAACAGCCAUGGCCACUGACUGUCCAGCUUUGGGUUAUCUCCAAAUCAAAAAAGAAAAGAAAGCUUAGUUGAAUUAAGUAACGUAAAUUGGCACAGUUGCUUGUCUACGUUAUUUGUUUUAAUACUUCUCUGCAAAUGGUAAUGAUCAUUUUCUUGGGAGAGCUUAAGUCUAGGAUAGCAGGUUCAAAUGCCUCCGGGGCCAGGCCUGUAAGUACCUUCUGGAGUUGCUGGAGUUGGUGGGAAGAAGACUUGGCAGGAGACGCUGGUGUACUCUACUCAAAGGUAUUUCCAUGCUCUCUUCGCUUUUUAAAGUGGUGGGUUCCUCAAACAAAACCAUUUGCCUCCCUAACAUUUGAGGCAGAGGGGCUAAAUUAAACUGAAUAUACAACAGUGGGUCUCCAGUGGCCUCUGCAGAAAGCAGGCACAGGAAUGGGAAUGACUGGAUUAGUUUGCUAAUGUAAAUUCUAAUUCACAGUUGGAAAUUUAACUCUGUAGGCCCAGGAACCCAUACUUUUAUGUGCAGACCAGUGUAUAUUUCUAAGAAUGUAUUGCUAAAAAUAUAUGAAGGAUCAUUAAAGUCAGUUGCACGUUUCAAAAAUGACCCAGAAAUGAUAACAAGUGACUGAAGAGGUAGUGUUUACUGAAAUGGGAGGUCAGAGGAGAGGCAAUCCUGGUGUUUAAUACUGGUUUGUUUUACACAUUCUAUUAUAUUUGUUCUCUUUGAGCUUUGCUUUUGUAAAAUUCAGACAGAGUGUGCAGUGGAGUUCAAGGAAAGGAAGUAAUCGUGAUUCUGUUCAGUAAAGAAUGCAUUUCAACUCGACUUUUUUUUCUACCUGACCUGUUUGUCUUGCUGUGGUUGUCUCUUCAGCUCUUCAGUUUGUCACUCUCAGACCGACCAUGACCACCAUCUAGCGUCCCCUCUCUCCUCUCCAGACUGCAGACGUCCAGGAGGAAGCUAUAGCAGCACAAAGACCUUGGGCAAGAACGAGAUGGCUUUGUCCACAGAACAGGAAGAAGGAACAUAUUCAAGAGAAAAGUAGAGAGCUUGCCAUUCAUUUGUCAAAAUGUGAAGUUACUUUCUUUUUCAUCACUUCAAAGAAGCUUGUAAAAUAUUUUUAAAAGGAAGGGCUAUAGAAUAGAAAGACUACAUGAUAGCAGGACUGUAGGACAGCAUGAUAAUUGAAACUACAUGAUCUGAAGUUUUUGUUUUUCCUUAGUGAGGCAUUCACACCCUUUUAAAAUUAAACCAGCAACUAACAGAACAGUAAUACCAAUGUAAAAAUGUUUUAAAAGUCAUCCCUUGCAAAACCUUAGUUUUAAGAUAUUAGCAGUCGCCACAGAAGUUUAUAUCCUGUUUUGUAUUUAAAGGCAAUUAUUGAUUCUAAUUGUAUUUGUUAAGAUUAUCUUUUCUUUUAUUUCAUUGUUUUAACAAGUUACAUGUUUAUCGUAGAGAUCUAAAGGUUUAAAAAUUUUAAAGAUGCUUUUCAUUUGAACUUUUAAAUAUACUGUAAUGUAGGUCCCUGUGAAAUGUGUUUAAAUUAUAAUUGAACCAAAAAUAUCUUGGGUGACUUGUCAAUUUAAAAUCCAUGAAAUUGAUAUAGUCAGAUUGUGAACUCUGAAGUUAAACUUCGGUUAUUUAGAAUUUUUAGAGAAUAAGAUGUCCAGAUUAAAACAAAUUUUUUGAGGAGUACA